CCUAGUAACUGCGAGUGAAGCGGGAAAAGCUCAAAUUUAAAAUCUGAGGGUCCUUGUGGCCUUCCGAGUUGUAAUCUAGAGAAGUGCUAUCCGCGCUGGACCGUGUACAAGUCUCCUGGAACGGAGCGUCAUAGAGGGUGAGAAUCCCGUCUUUGACACGGACUACCAGGGCUUUGUGAUGCGCUCUCAAAGAGUCGAGUUGUUUGGGAAUGCAGCUCUAAAUGGGUGGUAAAUUCCAUCUAAAGCUAAAUAUUGGCGAGAGACCGAUAGCGAACAAGUACCGUGAGGGAAAGAUGAAAAGAACUUUGGAAAGAGAGUUAAACAGUACGUGAAAUUGUUGAAAGGGAAACGCUUGAAGUCAGUCGCGUUGGCCAGGAAUCAACCUUGCUUUUGCUUGGCGUACUUUCUGGUUAACGGGUCAGCAUCAAUUUUGACCGRUGGAUAAAGGUUAGGGGAAUGUGGCAUCCUCGGAUGUGUUAUAGCCUCUGGUCGCAUACAUCGGUUGGGAUUGAGGAACUCAGCACGCCGCAAGGCCGGGUUUUAACCACGUACGUGCUUAGGAUGCUGGCAUAAUGGCUUUAAUCGACCCGUCUUGAAACACGGACCAAGGAGUCUAACAUGCACGCGAGUGUUUGGGUGGAAAACCCGAGCGCGUAAUGAAAGUGAAAAUUGAGAUCCCUGUCGCGGGGAGCAUCGAUGCCUGGACUUGAUCUUUUGUGACGGUUCCACGGUUGAGCGUGUAUGCUGGGACCCGAAAGAUGGUGAACUAUGCCUGAAUAGGGUGAAGCCAGAGGAAACUCUGGUGGAGGCUCGUAGCGAUUCUGACGUGCAAAUCGAUCGUCAAAUUUGGGUAUAGGGGCGAAAGACUAA
rnacentral:rRNA from 1 species